AGAGUUUGAUCCUGGCGUACGACGGACGAACGCUGGCGGCGUAGCCUAACACAUGCAAGUCGAACGGAUGUACUAGCAAUAGUACAUUAGUGGCGGACGGGUGAGUAAUACAUGAGUAACCUGCCUUAUACAGGGGGAUAACACCUAGAAAUGGGUGCUAAUACCGCAUAAUAACCUAAUGUGGCAUCACAUUAGGAGGAAAGGAGAAAUCCGGUAAAAGAUGGACUCAUGUUCGAUUAGCUAGUUGGUGGGGUAAAAGGCCUACCAAGGCAACGAUCGAUAGCCGAACUGAGAGGUUGAACGGCCACAUUUGGAACUGAGAAACGGUCCAGACUCCUACGGGAGGCAGCAGUGGGGAAUAUUGCGCAAUGGGGGAACCCUGACGCAGCAACGCCGUGUGAAGGAAGAAGGCUCUAGGGUUGUAAACUUCUUUGAUUAGGGACGAAAUAAAUGACGGUACCUAAAGAACAAGCCACGGCUAACUACGUGCC
rnacentral:rRNA from 1 species